rnacentral:snRNA from 1 species
ACACUUACAUGGUACCGGGGCCUCGUUGAUCAACCAAGACGAGCCCCCAGGGCGAGGCGCGGGCAUUGCACUGCGCUCGCGUUACCCCUGCCACUACCCCAACUGGGGCAGAUUGGGGCAUGCAAAUUGC